rnacentral:rRNA from 1 species
UACACUCCUGCGGGAGGCAGCAGUGAGGAAUAUUGGACAAUGGGUGGAAGCCUGAUCCAGCCAUCCCGCGUGCAGGAAGACGGCCCUAUGGGUUGUAAACUGCUUUUAUCUGGGGAUAAACCUACUUACGUGUAAGUAGCUGAAGGUACCAGAAGAAUAAGCACCGGCUAACUCCGUGCCAGCAGCCGCGGUAAUACGGAGGGUGCAAGCGUUAUCCGGAUUUAUUGGGUUUAAAGGGUCCGUAGGCGGACUGAUAAGUCAGUGGUGAAAUCCGACAGCUUAACUGUCGAACUGCCAUUGAUACUGUUAGUCUUGAGUAAGGUUGAAGUGGCUGGAAUAAGUAGUGUAGCGGUGAAAUGCAUAGAUAUUACUUAGAACACCAAUUGCGAAGGCAGGUCACUAAGUCUUAACUGACGCUGAUGGACGAAAGCGUGGGGAGCGAACAGGAUUAGAAACCCCGGUAGUCCCAU